GUGUUCGCUGCUGUGGCAUCAUGAAGAUUCACAUAAAUCUAAAGCGGCUUAUUAAUAUUAUUAUUAUUUUUCCUUUUGCGCUGCUUUAUAGAUGAGAUGAGAAUCUUGAUGAUGCUGCAUCGGCAAAUAC
rnacentral:pre_miRNA from 1 species